rnacentral:miRNA from 1 species
UUUUCCAAUUCUAAGUCUAUC